ACUCCUACGGGAGGCAGCAGUGGGGAAUAUUGCACAAUGGGCGCAAGCCUGAUGCAGCCAUGCCGCGUGUAUGAAGAAGGCCUUCGGGUUGUAAAGUACUUUCAGCGGGGAGGAAGGCGAUAAGGUUAAUAACCUUGUUGAUUGACGUUACCCGCAGAAGAAGCACCGGCUAACUCCGUGCCAGCAGCCGCGGUAAUACGGAGGGUGCAAGCGUUAAUCGGAAUUACUGGGCGUAAAGCGCACGCAGGCGGUCUGUCAAGUCGGAUGUGAAAUCCCCGGGCUCAACCUGGGAACUGCAUUCGAAACUGGCAGGCUAGAGUCUUGUAGAGGGGGGUAGAAUUCCAGGUGUAGCGGUGAAAUGCGUAGAGAUCUGGAGGAAUACCGGUGGCGAAGGCGGCCCCCUGGACAAAGACUGACGCUCAGGUGCGAAAGCGUGGGGAGCAAACAGGAUUAGAAACCCUAGUAGUCCCAUG
rnacentral:rRNA from 1 species